UACAGAGGGUGCAAGCGUUAAUCGGAGUUACUGGGCGUAAAGGGCGCGUAGGCGGUUAUGUAAGUGAGAUGUGAAAUCCCUGGGCUUAACCUAGGAACUGCAUCUUAUACUGCAUGACUAGAGUACUGUAGAGGGUAGUGGAAUUUCCGGUGUAGCGGUGAAAUGCGUAGAGAUCGGAAGGAACACCAGUGGCGAAGGCGGCUACCUGGACAGAUACUGACGCUGAGGCGCGAAAGCCAGGGGAGCGAACGGG
rnacentral:rRNA from 1 species